rnacentral:misc_RNA from 1 species
GAUGAAGAACGUAGCGAAAUGCGAUAAGUAAUGUGAAUUGCAGAAUUCAGUGAAUCAUCGAAUCUUUGAACGCACAUUGCGCCCGCCAGUAUUCCGGCGGGCAUGCCUGUCUGAGCGUCAUUUCAACCCUCAUGCCCCUAGGGCGUGGUGUUGGGGAUCGGCCAAAGCCCGCGAGGGACGGCCGGCCCCUAAAUCUAGUGGCGGACCCGUCGUGGCCUCCUCUGCGAAGUAGUGAUAUUCCGCAUCGGAGAGCGAUGAGCCCCUGCCGUUAAACCCCCAACUUUCCAAGGUUGACCUCAGAUCAGGUAGGAAUACCCGCUGAACUUAAGCAUAUCAAUAAGCGGAGGA